rnacentral:rRNA from 1 species
UACGUAGGGUGCAAGCGUUGUUCGGAAUCACUGGGCUUAAAGGGCGCGUAGGCGGGUUCGCAAGUCUGUGGUGAAAUCCUCCGGCUCAACCGGAGAACUGCCUCGGAUACUGCGGGUCUCGAGGGUGAUAGGGGUAUGCGGAACUAUCGGUGGAGCGGUGAAAUGCGUUGAUAUCGAUAGGAACUCCGGUGGCGAAGGCGGCAUACUGGAUCACUUCUGACGCUGAGGCGCGAAAGCCAGGGGAGCAAACGGG